UACGUAGGUGGCAAGCGUUGUCCGGAUUUACUGGGCGUAAAGCGUGCGCAGGCGGUUCUGAAAGUCAGCUGUGAAAGCCCCGGGCUUAACCUGGGAAUUGCGGUUGAAACUACAGGGCUAGAAUCUGGCAGAGGGGGGUGGAAUUCCACGUGUAGCAGUGAAAUGCGUAGAGAUGUGGAGGAACACCGAUGGCGAAGGCAGCCCCCUGGGCUGAGAUUGACGCUCAGGCACGAAAGCGUGGGAGCAAACAGG
rnacentral:rRNA from 1 species